rnacentral:rRNA from 1 species
UACGUAGGGAGCAAGCGUUGUCCGGAAUCAUUGGGCGUAAAGCGCGCGUAGGUGGCCUCAUAAGUCCGCUGUGAAAGUCCAAGGCUCAACCUUGGAAAGCCGGUGGAUACUGUGAGGCUAGAGUACGGAAGAGGCGAGUGGAAUUCCUGGUGUAGCGGUGGAAUGCGCAGAUAUCAGGAGGAACACCAAUAGCGAAGGCAGCUCGCUGGGACGGCAUUGACGCUAAGGCGCGAAAGCGUGGGGAGCAAACAGG